ACUGAACGCUGGCUGGCAGGCACUACACGAUGUUAAGUCGAAGGAGAAGUUUCUCCUUCGGCGAAGAUGGACACUGGCGCACGGUGAGUAACGCGUGGGGAUCUACCCCGGGGUGGGGGACAACCGCUGGAAACGGCGGCUAAUACCGCAUACGCCUUAAGAGGGAAAGCUUUAGCGCCCUGGGAUGAACCCGCGUUAGAUUAGGUAGUUGGUGGGGUAAUGGCCUACCAAGCCGACGAUCUAUAGCUGGUCUGAGAGGAUGAUCAGCCACACUGGGACUGAGACACGGCCCAGACUCCUACGGGAGGCAGCAGUGGGGAAUAUUGGACAAUGGGGGCAACCCUGAUCCAGCCAUGCCGCGUGCGUGAAGAAGGCCUUAGGGUUGUCAAGCGCUUUCACUGGUGAAGAUGAUGACGGUAGCCAGAGAAGAACCCCGGCUAACUCCGUGCCAGCAGCCGCGGUAAUACGGAGGGGGCAAGCGUUGUUCGGAAUUACUGGGCGUACAGGGCGCGUAGGCGGAAUAUCAAGUUACGGGUGAAGGGCUGGGCUAACCUAGGACGGCCUCUAAACUGAUAUCUAGAGUCCGGAAGAGGAUGGCGGAAUUCCUAGUGUAGAGGUGAAAUUCGGAGAUUUCAGGCAGAACACGGUGGCGAAGGCGGGCAUCAUGUACGGGUAUGAAGGUGAAGCGCGAAAGAGAUGGGAG
rnacentral:rRNA from 1 species